CUAUUAUUUAAAGUGUAAAUGUAUUAAGCUUGAGUAGUAUUAGUUAAUAUCUUAAAACUCAAAGAAUUUGGCGGUGUUUUAGUCUAUUCAGAGGAAUCUGUCCUGUAAUCGAUAAUUCACGUGUAAUUGAACUUAAUUUUGUAUAUUCAGCUUGUAUAUCGCCGUCAUCAGAUUAUUUUUGAAGAAUUUAAAUUUUCUUAUAAUUAAUUAGAUUAUAUGUCAGGUCAAGGUGCAGCUUAUAAUUAAGAGGAGAUGGAUUACAAUAAAAUUAUUUAUAUGGAUAUUAGAUUGUUAUAUUUAAUUGAAGGUGGAUUUGAUAGUAAUGUUAUUUAUUGAUAAUUUGAUUAUAGCUCUAAAACA
rnacentral:rRNA from 1 species